rnacentral:lncRNA from 1 species
AAAAAAUCUUCUAGGAGCAGCUAACAAGAAUCCUAAUACAGGAGUGUUUAUGGUUGGGUUGAGACACAUUCAGUAGCUGAGUGAUUGACAGCAAGAGGAGCAAGACAUGAGGUAGAUUUGUAUUAUAUUCUCAGUGAAACGGGAUAGCUUUAGAAGCUUUUUAAUAAAAAGGAUAUAUGAUCUAAAUUUCCUACUGUUAAUAAUUAUCAAAUAUAUGGCAAUGCUGGACUUUAGCUGAUCAUCGUGCUUCUGGAAAACAACAAAAAUUGAGAUAUCUGUUCACCACUUUGUGUGUCCAAGGACCACCUACUUUUUACAUGUGACAAGAACUACCCACCUCCACUCUUCAGGAUAGAACAUGCUGAAGAAAAGAGUUGCAAUGAGAAAAUAUAUGGGAACAAAAUACCUAUGCAAUGCAGAAGUCUGCAUAACUGAACCACUCAGAGGAAAAAGUGUUAACUACCCAUCUAUGGCAAAUUAAUUAUGCUCAUUGGAUUAUUUUACUUUUAUUCAAAUUUUGUUAUCUGGUACUUAUUAUAUGGAAUAUGCAAAUCGAAGUCCUGUCCUUCAGCAAUCAAUAAGAUUGCCAUUUCAGGACACCUCCUACAUCUGAGGAAAUAUGCAUUGAUCUUGCAGUACUUUUCUCCUCCAAAUAAAAGUCAGUAUGAUAACAACUACACUAUCAGAAGUCUAAGCCAAAGGACACUUCAGUUAUCCAAUCUUGCAACAAAUACAUUUAAGCACUUAAUAUGGGCUACUGUUGGUACUAGGGGCAUUGAGAACUUCAGAUUUGAUUAACACCCAAGAGCUGCUACCAUAAAAUAAACUAGGCAGCUACUAGGCAAUAAGAUGAGGCACAUGUGUAAAACUUCUGCUUUUAGCUUGGUGAAGAGUGGUUACACAGCCAUUAUUACAAAAAUUACAUUUUUCCACAAAUAAAGACAUCACUUUUCUAGA